rnacentral:rRNA from 1 species
AGCUCCAGUAGCGUAUAUUAAAGUUGUUGCAGUUAAAAAGCUCGUAGUUGGAUUUCUGGUUCACUGCGCCCGGCCCGCCCGUCUUUUCGGUGUGUGUGCUGGAGCGCGGGUCCAUCCUUCUAGAGAACGUUCGUAUCCUUCGCUGGACCGCGAUCGCAAUCUAGAUCUUUUACUUUGAAAAAAUUAGAGUGUUUAAAGCAGGCUUUUGCUAUGAAUACAUUAGCAUGGAAUAAUAAUAUAGGACUUUGGUUCUAUUUUGUUGGUUUCUAGGACUGAAGUAAUGAUUGAUAGGGAUAGUUGGGGGUGCUAGUAUUCAGUGGCCAGAGGUGAAAUUCUUGGAUUCACUGAAGACUAACUUAUGCGAAAGCAUUCACCAAGGAUGUCUUCUUUAAUCAAGAAC